GACGACGGCAUCGUCGCGCUCGUGCUGAAGGGCGCGGGCGCCAAAGGCUUUUGCGCCGGCGGCGACGUGCGCGAAGUGCAAAAGCUGGCGAAAAACGCCGACAGCC
rnacentral:sRNA from 1 species